UACGUAGGGGGCAAGCGUUGUCCGGAUUUAUUGGGCGUAAAGCGCGUGUAGGCGGUCCGGUAAGUCCGCUGUGAAAGUCGGGGGCUCAACCCUCGAAUGCCGGUGGAUACUGUCGGGCUAGAGUGCGGAAGAGGCGAGUGGAAUUCCUGGUGUAGCGGUGAAAUGCGCAGAUAUCGGGAGGAACACCUAUGGCGAAGGCAGCUCGCUGGGCAGUAACUGACGCUGAGGAGCGAAAGCGUGGGGAGCGAACAGG
rnacentral:rRNA from 1 species